GGCGGCGUGCUUAAACAUGCAAGUCGAGCGAUGAAGCUUCCUUCGGGAAGUGGAUUAGCGGCGGACGGGUGAGUAACGCGUGCGUAACCUGCCUCAAAGAGGGGGAUAGCCUUCCGAAAGGAAGAUUAAUACCGCAUAAUAUACAGAAAUCACAUGUUUUCUGUAUCAAAGGAGCAAUCCGCUUUGAGAUGGACUCGCGGCGCAUUAGCUAGUUGGUAGGGUAACGGCCUACCAAGGCGACGAUGCGUAGCCGACCUGAGAGGGUGAUCGGCCACAUUGGGACUGAGACACGGCCCAGACUCCUACGGGAGGCAGCAGUGGGGAAUAUUGCGCAAUGGGCGAAAGCCUGACGCAGCAACGCCGCGUGGGUGAUGACGGUCUUCGGAUUGUAAAACCCUGUCUUCAGGGACGAUAAUGACGGUACCUGAGGAGGAAGCCACGGCUAACUACGUUGCCAGCAGCCGCGGUAA
rnacentral:rRNA from 1 species